rnacentral:rRNA from 1 species
AUGAACGCUAGCUACAGGCUUAACACAUGCAAGUCGAGGGGCAGCAUGAUUGAAGCUUGCUUCAAUCGAUGGCGACCGGCGCACGGGUGAGUAACACGUAUCCAACCUGCCGAUAACUCGGGGAUAGCCUUUCGAAAGAAAGAUUAAUACCCGAUAGCAUAGUAUUUCCGCAUGGUUUCACUAUUAAAGAACUUCGGUUAUCGAUGGGGAUGCGUUCCAUUAGAUAGUUGGCGGGGUAACGGCCCACCAAGUCAACGAUGGAUAGGGGUUCUGAGAGGAAGGUCCCCCACAUUGGAACUGAGACACGGUCCAAACUCCUACGGGAGGCAGCAGUGAGGAAUAUUGGUCAAUGGACGAGAGUCUGAACCAGCCAAGUAGCGUGAAGGAUGACUGCCCUAUGGGUUGUAAACUUCUUUUAUACGGGAAUAAAGUGGAGUAUGCAUACUCCUUUGUAUGUACCGUAUGAAUAAGGAUCGGCUAACUCCGUGCCAGCAGCCGCGGUAAUACGGAGGAUCCGAGCGUUAUCCGGAUUUAUUGGGUUUAAAGGGAGCGUAGGCGGGUGCUUAAGUCAGUUGUGAAAGUUUGCGGCUCAACCGUAAAAUUGCAGUUGAUACUGGGUACCUUGAGUGCAGCAUAGGUAGGCGGAAUUCGUGGUGUAGCGGUGAAAUGCUUAGAUAUCACGAAGAACUCCUAUUGCGAAGGCAGCUUACUGGACUGUAACUGACGCUGAUGCUCGAAAGUGUGGGUAUCAAACAGGAUUAGAUACCCUGGUAGUCCACACAGUAAACGAUGAAUACUCGCUGUUGGCGAUACACAGUCAGCGGCCAAGCGAAAGCAUUAAGUAUUCCACCUGGGGAGUACGCCGGCAACGGUGAAACUCAAAGGAAUUGACGGGGGCCCGCACAAGCGGAGGAACAUGUGGUUUAAUUCGAUGAUACGCGAGGAACCUUACCAGGUCUUGACAUCGAUCUAAAGGCUCCAGAGAUGGAGAGAUAGCUAUAGAGAAGACAGGUGGUGCAUGGUUGUCGUCAGCUCGUGUCGUGAGAUGUUGGGUUAAGUCCCGCAACGAGCGCAACCCUUAUCGUCCGUUACUAACAGGUAAAGCUGAGGACUCUAUGGAGACUGCCGUCGUAAGAUGUGAGGAAGGUGGGGAUGACGUCAAAUCAGCACGGCCCUUACGUCCGGGGCUACACACGUGUUACAAUGGGGGGUACAGAAGGCAGCUACCUGGCGACAGGAUGCUAAUCCCAAAAACCUCUCUCAGUUCGGAUUGGAGUCUGCAACCCGACUCCAUGAAGCUGGAUUCGCUAGUAAUCGCGCAUCAGCCACGGCGCGGUGAAUACGUUCCCGGGCCUUGUACACACCGCCCGUCAAGCCAUGAAAGCCGGGGGUACCUGAAGUACGUAACCGCAAGGAGCGUCCUAGGGUAAAACUGGUGAUUGGGGCU